UACGGAGGGUGCAAGCGUUAUCCGGAUUCACUGGGUUUAAAGGGUGCGUAGGUGGGUCUGUAAGUCAGCGGUGAAAUCUCCGGGCUUAACCCGGAAACUGCCAUUGAUACUAUAGGUCUUGAAUUAUCUGGAGGUAAGCGGAAUAUGUCAUGUAGCGGUGAAAUGCUUAGAUAUGACAUGGAACACCAAUUGCGAAGGCAGCUUACUACGGAUACAUUGACACUGAGGCACGAAAGCGUGGGGAUCAAACAGG
rnacentral:rRNA from 1 species